rnacentral:rRNA from 1 species
GACGAACGCUGGCGGCGUGCCUAAUACAUGCAAGUCGAGCGAAUGACGAGAAGCUUGCUUCUCUGAUUUAGCGGCGGACGGGUGAGUAACACGUGGGCAACCUGCCCUACAGAUCGGGAUAACUCAGGGAAACCUGGGCUACUACCGGAUAAUCCUUCGAAUCACAUGUCGUCAAGUUGAAAUGCGCUCCGGCGUCCCUGUAGGAUGGGCCCGGGGUGCAUUAGCUAGUUGGUGGGGUAACGGCCUACCAAGGCAACGAUGCAUAGCCGACCUGGGAGGAUGACCGGCCACAUUGGGACUGAGACACGGCCCAGACUCCUACGGGAGGCAGCAGUAGGGAAUCUUCCACGAUGGACGAAAGUCUGAUGGAGCAACGCCGCGUGAGUGAUGAAGGUUUUCGGAUCGUAAAACUCUGUUGUAAGGGAAGAACAAGUGCCGCAGGCAAUGGCGGCACCUUGACGGUACCUUGCGAGAAAGCCACGGCUAACUACGUGCCAGCAGCCGCGGUAA